CAGCCUACAGCACCCGGAAGCCAGCGCGGCCGCAGCGCGGCGUCCUGAAUGCCUUGGAAUGUCAUGUUCGUGUGUGCGCUGGAAUACUAUGUUUGUGCUAACGUGCUAAUAAAAGGGUGUUUGUGAA